AUCCAGCAGACGAGUCCCAAAUGGGACGAAACGCGCAUCCAUGCAU
rfam:Schistosoma mansoni strain Puerto Rico chromosome 2, complete genome